rnacentral:tRNA from 1 species
GGUGUAGCUCAGUGGUAGAGCGUGUGCUUAGCAUGCACGAGGUCCUGGGUUCAAUCCCCAGUCCUGCCA